GUUGGAUCCUUGUAAGCGAGUGGGCAAGAGGUAACCGGAGGGGUCUUUGAGCUGAGCCCUCCAUCCACUUUGGGGGGUGGGCGCCCCAACAGAGAAGUCCUCGAUCGCAGCAAGGUUGCGUUUAGCGCCAAAAAGAAAUUAUAUUGAUGGCUAGCCUUAUCUGAAGACCUUUGUUCUUCCUCACUGAAGUCAAUGGGUCAAUAAACAGGAGUAAACAGGAGACCCCGCUCUCUAAUGCUGGGAAAGGUGGAAGGAAUGGGGAGGAGAGGUUGACCAGCAGGAAAAUGGAUGGACUCAGUUACAGUGAUGAUGAGCUGCUCAAUGUUUAUUGCAGUAAUUAACCAGCACAAGAUUGCUAGUCAAACAUCCCGGAGAUUCUCUGGAUUCAAUAUGGUUCAAAACAUCUCCAUCUUGCAAUGCGAGCUUCUGAACAAAUAGCAGCAGCUGGGGAAGGCAGGGAAUCCUUUACAACAGUGGUUCCCAAACUUGGCAACUUUAAGACUUGUGGACUUCAAUUCCCAGAAUUCUCCAGCCAGCUCUGCUUUACAACAAACUGUUCUAGAGAAAAGUUCAACACACUGUUGAUUUUUAAUUUCUAUCUAUAAAUCCAAUUUCAAAGAGCUAUUAGUGUCAUAUCUGACUGGGGAGUAACUAGGGUCAGAGUUACUUACUGAAGUUGUCUGCUUAUUGCUUAUUAAUCCUUUUCUACUGCUUCAAAGAUUUGGUUGGGGUCUAUGUUGUAGCUCCCUUUUGCUAAUCCUUGAAUCAUGUUUUAUAUCUGAUUCUGUUGUAUCUGGACCAGAUAAACAACUUCUCAGGUGUUAGUUUAAUUUAGUUGAAAAAAUAAAAAAAAUAAA